GGCGGUGUAGCUCAGUCGGUUAGAGCGGCGGCUUCAUAAGCCGUAGGUCGGCAGUUCGAGUCUGCCCACCGCUACCA
rnacentral:tRNA from 2 species